UCUCUUUGUAGUUUUGAGGACGGAAAGUGGAAUGCUGCUUUUAGUAGUUACGAACCACAUCACAAGCGAACCAAUUGGAUAUGGACAUCUGAGUUUCAUGAAGGAGACAAAAACGUAUAUUGUAGGAAAAAAAUAAAAGUUGAACCAAUAAUAAGAACAAUAACAUCUGAUGCUGUUGACAACAUAAUAGAUGAAAACUCCAGCGUUACUAUUAACUGUUUGGUUGAAAGUAUCCCAGUGGCGCAUGUAUCCUGGUCCAGAUCACAACAAGGGGGACAACUCUAUUCUGGUAGUCAAUAUACCAUACCUAAAGCUAGUUGUAAACAUACAGAUAAUUAUACCUGUACAGCUAGUAAUAAUAUUGGUCAACCUGUAUCUAAAACUAUUCCACUCAUUGAUAGAUGUACCCCAGUUGUUAUGACUACCCAGACUAUAGUUGUUAUAACUAUGGAUGUUAUAGUUGUACCACGUGGAGAAACGGGUAUAAUAUCAGUCAACGUUUUAGCUUAUCCACUUCCGGUAUUCACCUGGUAUUAUCACCAACAAGAUGGCAGUCACCAACCAGUUACCAUGG